AGAGCCAUCGAUUUUUAUCAACAAAAAAAUCACUCCCGCAUUUGGCUUCCCGCGUCCCUCGUUCACUCAUUUCCCCAAAAUUUAACCCCAAACCUUCAUAGAAUCAGAGUUCAGACUUCAAAGCGAGGCUUCUUCUUCUCCUCCAACGCUUGAGAAUAGAAAUCAGAGACGGAAUCACAGUCACGUAGAGAGGCAGAGAGCAGAGCUUCUUCUUCUCCGACGCCUGAGAAAACCCGCCGUCCUCUGCCUGAGCGCAGAGUGUCGUCUUCUUCUUCUUCUCCUCCGCCUGAUAGCAGAGCUGCUUCUUCUUUUUCUCCUCCUCCUCCUCCUCCGCCGAACCCGCUGUCGCGCCAUCCUUUUCAUUUCUUCUUCUUCCACAGACUCAUCGUUGCAAUGUCUUUGCCGAUCGCCGUCCCUGUGAGACCGAUGCCAGAGCAUGUCGCCGUCGCAGCUUCUUUCAUUGUGGUGUGUUUCUAUUGGCAAUCCAUGAUACUGUGUUAGAUGGCACUUUAUUGUACCAUAUCCCAAGGUAACGGUUCUUGGAACUUUCUGGAAUACUUAAGAAUCCAACUGCAAAGGUUCCACUGGCUGAAACUAUGGUGUCACCAUUAGUGAGGGACCGUGUAAUACUAAUGCUUUCUAUGACAGUGGAAACGGCUAUAUCAUGAAACAAUAAGAAGCACAACAGAAGAAAGAUGAACUUUUUCAUUAUUUUGUUUUGCUUUAUUAUUAUUGUAGGUAACUUGGUAAUAGUGCUCUUUUUUAGAGGAAUAGUAGAUAAAGAACUAGAGUAGAUGCAACCACACAAUAGUUGACAUUCUUAGUCUAUAGCGGAUGUUGGAAUCUUCCAUCUCAAAAAUACAAAUAAGUAUGGGAAAAUAUGAAAGAUUAAGCAAAAGCCAAGAAAUAGUGUUGAAGCAAGAAUAUGGGACACAAGAAUGUUUCAACAAUAACAAUAUAUCUUAAUUGAAAUUGAAAAGUAGGCAUGGCUUGUGAUUAUAACCGUUGAGCAAUGACUUUUUUGUAUCCACAAAAUGAUUGAUUCCUCGCUGAUUUUGUUCUAGUUAGGCUCCAUCUGGCUUUCGGUUCCUAGCUUAUCUUGCGUUGGUAUGUAAGACCCCACAUCAUUGUAUGUUGUAAGAUAUUGGAUGCUCAGUUUAUUAUCUUUUUUCUUUCAUGGAUAUUUGUUAUAUAUUUAAGUUAGCUUGAAGUUCAAUAAAAAAUAUCAUGUUGUUAAUUAGUAAAUGACUGUUUGUGCAAAACUAAAUUAUAUUUUAAAAUUUAAAUCCUUUUUUAUGCUGACUUACCAGACUGAAUUGCACUGCAAUGUUCAUGAAAUAGUUAACAAACAAUUAUCAGACAGAGGAGAAAAUAGUGAAGUAAGAGGUUUUUUUAGUUGAUCAAUUUGCAUGAUACUAGUUAUAUAUAAGGAUAAUGGUAUUGGAUACUAUCAUGCCUUCCUUUUCUUUCCUUGUAAAUAAUUUGUUAUCUUGUUUCCUUGAAGUUGAAACUUCUCUUUUUGUUUCUGUUUUUUGUCUUUUUAAUAUAUCAUGCCCCAGCAAUGUUAGUAGUAUGAAUUGUGAUCUUAAGCAGGAGCUUGACAAGUUGAGGAAAAGGUUUGAGUUGACAGAAGCAGAGAAUGUUUAUCUGAAUAAGUCAAUUGAGAGAAUAGACAAAGAGUUGCAUGAAGCCACAGGCACAAGUUUCCAUUUAAGUCAUCAAAUUGAAAACUCAAAAUCUGGUUAAGAAGAAAGAAUCAGAACUGUUAGCAAUGGAGAAAAGGCUAAAGGCUAUUGAGGAGCUAAAGAUGGAACAAGAAGAAUCAAUAAUGAUCAAAAAAGAUAUGGACAGAAAGGUGUGAGGAUUAUGCAAUUUGCUUUUUGCUUUCAACCAGAAUGGCAUCACACAAUUACAUGGCAAGUGCCAAAUCUGUAUCUCUUUAUUGUAUAAGUUCAGGAGUUUCUCAAUCUGCCAUUGCUGCACUCUUUUGUAAAAUCAAUUUCGGCCAGAAGCAAUUCUCUACUUGCUGUUUCGGUCUCACUCAACCUUGUUUUAUUGACAAGUUCAGGAGGAUGACAUGGUCUGUUAGAAGUAGCUUAAACGACAGUAAUUUUAGUCUUUCCACUUCUAAUGGUACCAAUGGAAGAACACGCAACAUAUGAUUAGAGCGGUU